AAAAUCAAUUAUUGAGUGGGGAAUUAGAUCCUAAAAGCAUUAAUUAAGUUCGUAGUAAUCAUAAUCUAACCUUGAUUUAGUUAUAUAAACUGGCUUUUCUAGAAACAUGCGUCACAGCACCAGCAUGGUGUUCUUCACUUUUUUUUACUAGUUUAUCAUUUUUUCCAAGUUUUUCGCCAAAAGGGUGAUUAAAAAACAUACAAACCAAUCAUGCAUCUCUAUAUAUGUCCUCUAGUUUAGGUUACGAUUUUUUUUUUUUUCAAAGCUCAUAUACUAAACGCGUUUAUAAAUGCAAAUGUUUACCCUAAUUAGUAAUUAGUUUAUAUUACUAGAUUUUCUAAAUAUCAAAGAAAGGGAAUUAAAAAUCAGUUAUGUCAUAAUUUAGAAAAAGAGUUUUAGUAAAGAAGAAGAGAGAGACUUCGUUAAUUGGUGUCUACUACAACACAUAGAAAAGAGAAAGAAACAUUUGUCCACUCCACUGCUC
rnacentral:lncRNA from 1 species